rnacentral:lncRNA from 1 species
AUUACUAAUCCUAGCAGACUCCUUGUCCACAUCACCAUAAUCACGUACAUUCACAUUCUCAUCACCAUGCGGCGCAAACAACCUCAUAAUAUCCCAAGGAGGAGGCGUCAAAACCGGAGGCCGAGCACCACUAAUCCCUCUAACAUUACUAACCGUAACCCUAACAUUCUCACUAAACUUAUCACUCAAUUCACCAUCUCUAAAGCUUUUACCCCAAGAAGAUCGGAGCUUCAUCGACUCCCAAUCAGCAGCAGGAAUCGCAAAAUCAUCGGGUCCGGAGAGUCCCAAACUCUGAAAAAUCGCAUCAAACUC